UACGUAGGGGGCAAGCGUUGUCCGGAUUUACUGGGCGUAAAGAGCGUGUAGGCGGCCAAGCAGGUCCGUUGUGAAAACUGGAGGCUUAACCUCCAGACGUCGACGGAAACCGCGCGGCUAGAGUCCGGAAGAGGAGAGUGGAAUUCCGUGGUGUAGCGGUGAAAUGCGCAGAUAUCAGGAAGAACACCAAUGGCGAAGGCAGCUCUCUGGGACGGUACUGACG
rnacentral:rRNA from 1 species